UACAGCCAUAUCAUGUUGAAACACUAGUUCUCAUACAAUCACCAAAGUUAAGCAAUGUUGUGCCUAGCCAGUACCUAGAUGGGUGACCACUUGAGAAAAUCCACAUGAUGC